UGGGGAAUAUUGGGCAAUGGGCGCAAGCCUGACCCAGCAACGCCGCGUGAGGGAAGAAGGCCUUCGGGUUGUAAACCUCUGUCCUUAGGGACGAAAAAAAUGACGGUACCUAAGGAGGAAGCUCCGGCUAACUACGUGCCAGCAGCCGCGGUAAUACGUAGGGAGCAAGCGUUGUCCGGAAUUACUGGGCGUAAAGGGUGCGUAGGUGGCCAUGCAAGUCAGAUGUGAAAUCCCCGGGCUUAACUCGGGUGCUGCAUUUGAAACUGCGUGGCUUGAGUGCAGGAGAGGAAAGCGGAAUUCCUAGUGUAGCGGUGAAAUGCGUAGAUAUUAGGAGGAACACCAGUGGCGAAGGCGGCUUUCUGGACUGUAACUGACACUGAGGCACGAAAGCGUGGGGAGCAAACA
rnacentral:rRNA from 1 species